AUUCUGCACUGUGGUGAUGUAGAGAAUUUGAAAGUGGGUGAGUUGCAGCCACUGUCCCACAGUGUGGGGUCUGCAUGACACACCGUGAAGGGUAGCACACACUCACAGUCCUAACUAACAUUGUGGGGCUUACUUCUGCUUUAUUCACUCUUCUCACACACUGGAAUUGACCUCCUUAGCCAUUCUCAUUGUUUCUGAAGCAGGUCCAGUCCCUAUUACACUAGAUUAAGAACAUGGAGAUUUCUGAUCUUAAUUAGUUUUAAGAACAGAACAGAACAAAACCCUCUAGUUCAUCAUUCAUAUCACUAGCAGCAUACCCCAAAGCAACUAAAAACCUUUAUCAAUUCCUUAUUAUCUAUCCAUAAGAAACAAGUUGCCGAUGCUUCCUCCAAGUCUCCUCAAGAUUGCUCUCCAUGUUGCUACAGUACCCUCUGCCACGGGCCAUCCCAGAGCACUCCCACGACAAGUGACCAUUGUGUAUUGGAACCGUCACUUGCUUUGCUUCUGCUGGACGCAAGCACUUACUUUGUUGAACUAAACUCAAUGGAUUGAAACUAUGAAGCUUAUCAA
rnacentral:lncRNA from 1 species